rnacentral:rRNA from 1 species
UACGAAGGGGGCUAGCGUUGCUCGGAAUUACUGGGCGUAAAGCGCACGUAGGCGGUCUUUUAAGUCGGGGGUGAAAUCCUGGAGCUCAACUCCAGAACUGCCUUCGAUACUGGAAGACUUGAGUCCGGGAGAGGUGAGUGGAACUGCGAGUGUAGAGGUGAAAUUCGUAGAUAUUCGCAAGAACACCAGUGGCGAAGGCGGCUCACUGGCUCGAUACUGACGCUGAGGUGCGAAAGCGUGGGGAGCAAACAGG